UGAGUAACCUGCCCUUAACUCUGGGAUAAGCCUGGGAAACUGGGUCUAAUACCGGAUAUGACUCCUCAUCGCAUGGUGGGGGGUGGAAAGCUUUAUUGUGGUUUUGGAUGGACUCGCGGCCUAUCAGCUUGUUGGUGAGGUAAUAGCUCACCAAGGCGAUGACGGGUAGCCGGCCUGAGAGGGUGACCGGCCACACUGGGACUGAGACACGGCCCAGACCUCCGUACGGGGAGGCAG
rnacentral:rRNA from 1 species